AUUGAACGCUGGCGGCAGGCCUAACACAUGCAAGUCGAACGAGUCGCGGACGGGAUAGCUAUGUCUGUGAAACUGCCUGAUGGAGGGGGACAACUACCGGACACGGUUGCCACUACCGUACAGCAUCGCAUGUGCCCAGGUGGGAUUAGCUAGUGGGGGGGGUAACGGCUCACCUAGGCGACGCUCCCUAGCUGGUCUGAGAGGAUGCACAGCCACACUGGAACUGAGACACGGUCCAGACUCCUACGGGAGGCAGCAGUGGGGAAUAUUGCACAAUGGGCGCAAGCCUGAUGCAGCCAUGCCGCGUGUAUGAAGAAGGCCUUCGGGUUGUAAAGUACUUUCAGCGAGGAGGCGUUACUCGCAGAAGAAGCACCGGCUAACUCCGUGCCAGCAGCCGCGGUAAUAC
rnacentral:rRNA from 1 species